UGACCUCAAAUCGGGUGAGACUACCCGCUGAACUUAAGCAUAUCAAUAAGCGGAGG
rnacentral:rRNA from 1 species